GUGGGGAAUAUUGGACAAUGGGCGAAAGCCUGAUCCAGCCAUGCCGCGUGUGUGAAGAAGGUCUUCGGAUUGUAAAGCACUUUAAGUUGGGAGGAAGGGCAGUAAGUUAAUACCUUGCUGUUUUGACGUUACGAACAGAAUAAGCACCGGCUAACUUCGAGCCAGCAGCCGCGGUAAUACGAAGGGUGCAAGCGUUAAUCGGAAUUACUGGGCGUAAAGCGCGCGUAGGUGGUUCAGCAAGUUGGAGGUGAAAUCCCCGGGCUCAACCUGGGAACUGCCUCCAAAACUACUGAGCUAGAGUACGGUAGAGGGUAGUGGAAUUUCCUGUGUAGCGGUGAAAUGCGUAGAUAUAGGAAGGAACACCAGUGGCGAAGGCGACUACCUGGACUGAUACUGACACUGAGGUGCGAAAGCGUGGGGAGCAAACAGGAUUAGAAACCCCUGUAGUCC
rnacentral:rRNA from 1 species